UCCCUAUCCGUCGCGGGCGCAGGAAAUUUGAGAGGAGCUGUCCUUAGUACGAGAGGACCGGGAUGGACGCACCGCUGGUGUACCAGUUGUUCUGCCAAGGGCAUCGCUGGGUAGCUAUGUGCGGACGGGAUAAGUGCUGAAAGCAUCUAAGCAUGAAGCCCCCCUCAAGAUGAGAUUUCCCAUUCCGCAAGGAAGUAAGAUCCCUGAAAGAUGAUCAGGUUGAUAGGUCUGAGGUGGAAGUGUGGCGACACAUGGAGCUGACAGAUACUAAUCGAUCGAGGACUUAACCAU
rnacentral:rRNA from 1 species